GCCUAUGGAUGGAGAUAUCAUACGACGAGGACGAGCAGAAACAAAACGAUAUAGUAAAGAAACUAGAAUAGGAACUCUCAGUACUAUAUUGACAAACAGUUGAAGCGCAGAUAAUUGUAUAUUGCCUUUCUGCAUCGACUCCAAAUCGUGGAUGCCUGCCCGAGGUGGAUCGAAUCGACUUUCUUUCUUUCGUGGCACGGGCGAAGGCAGUCUACGUCGACUUCCGAGCUGCAGCAGCAUCGGGUUCGAUCCUCCUCCGCUCUCACGGGAUUAGCAGUCGUUUAAGACAACCUGUUCCAACCAUCGAUUUCGUUUUGAUGGAGCAGCGUGUCCAAGUAUGAUGGAUGUGUAAGCUUGAAAGGAAAGGGAAGAACUGCAAUAGCAGGAGAACCCACCAGCCCACAUGACAGCUCCGCCGCCAUCCUCGAUUCCCCUGCACUCAUCAAAGAAGGAGUAUGUUAUUUACACGGCGUGUCAAUUCUUAGAAUCCACUAUAAUUUAAUUUAUGUGCAGUGUCGGCCAGUCUUUACCUACCAUCGCUAUCGAGCAGAAGGCAACUGUGACUCCGGCAGUGGUGACUGACAAAUCGUCGAAAGACAGAAAAGGGGCUUAGAUCACAACGGUGGAGAGUUGGAGGAGGAAGGUGUGAAGGGAUACGUAGGUGUUCUGGGUGAUGUG
rnacentral:lncRNA from 1 species